rnacentral:rRNA from 1 species
GAUGAACGCUGGCGGCGUGCUUAACACAUGCAAGUCGAGCGAAGCACUUAAGUUUGAUUCUUCGGAUGAAGACUUAUUUGACUGAGCGGCGGACGGGUGAGUAACGCGUGGGUAACCUGCCUCAUACAGGGGGAUAACAGUUAGAAAUGACUGCUAAUACCGCAUAAGACCACGGUGCCGCAUGGCACAGUGGUAAAAAACUCCGGUGGUAUGAGAUGGACCCGCGUCUGAUUAGCUAGUUGGUGGGGUAACGCCUACCAAGCGACGAUCAGUAGCCGACCUGAGAGGGUGACCGGCACAUUGGGACUGAGACACGGCCCAAACUCCUACGGGAGGCAGCAGUGGGGAAUAUUG